GUAUUAUAAUGUGGUGUUCUCAUUCACAUACUAAUAAAUCUUAUACACAUCUUAAUAAUUGUGAUGUCUGUGUAAGUAUAUGUGUAUUGUGUGAUGUAUAUUGAGUAAAAGAAAAAGAGAAAACAAAUUAAAAUUUUGGUGGGACCCACCACCACACCCAAAAAGGGUUUGAGACCACAAUUGGUCUCCAUUUUUCUUCUCUCCCGCUGGCCCUUCCUUCUGUCUCUAUUUCUUGAUUUUUCUUUUUCUUUUUCUUUUUGAACUCAAACUUCAUUCUUAGAUUACUCAUCCACCUUUUGUCGGAUUGAGUUGCCGUUUGAGGCAAAACGAAGCUCGUGUCAAGCUCUACACAUCCAUACAAGCAAUUUUAGAUUUUGUGCCCCUUUGGAUUUCGAAUCUUGAGACCCAUUUUCUAGGGUUUUGGUGCAAUGUUGAGCACGAUGUCACGGCGUGAGGAACCUAGAGAAGUUGGCCCUAGGCCAACAAGGGGCGAUGUUGGUGAGAGCUCUAGCUCCAAUCCGGUGGAGCCAGUUGAUGAGAACAUGCUUCUUAGGGACUUGAUUCCCCCAAGAGCUGUUCCCCCAAGAAGAGAGAAUGUUGAAACACCUGUACCCGUAGAAGUGGGUGAAGGUUCUAUGGCACUAGAGUUGAAUUGAUUGUUGCAAAAUGCCGUGAGAGCAACUAUUGUUGCUCAGCCGCAGUUGGUACCACAACCUACAGUUCGAGUUGAGGAGACUCCAGCUCAGAAGCGUCUCAAGAUCAUUGAUAAGUGCUUAAAUGUUGCACAUUUCAGCACCUAAGCUAGGGUAUUUCAGUCUUUGUAUCUAUCUUAAGUUUAUGUUUUAGUCAUAAUUUAUGUUUAUGUGUAUUUCAGGGCAAUAAAGUUAAAAUGAGCUAAGAACGGUCCAAUUAAGCCUUUUUGGAGUUAAGCAAAGAUUUUCAGAAAAUGGCACAAAGCGGUCAAUCUCGGGCCUUUGAUGAUGUUCCCAAAGAUGGAGAAGUAAACCAAAUAGCCUAGGGCAAAAAUGGAGCUGAAUAAGGCUUAAAGGAAUUUUCCAACUCUGGGGGAUCGAUCCCCCAGGGUGGGGGAUCAAUCCCCCAGGACUUGGCAACAUUGCAUAUUUUUAUUUUAAUGUUUGGGCUUAUUUUGUAACCUAGUGGGCUUUAAUAGGUUUAUUACUUAAGCCCAGUGAGGCCCAUUGUUUUUAGGGUUAGUAUUUAUUAGUUUAGUGAUUUAUUAUUUGGGGAAUGAAGUUUUGAUUAUUAUUUUGAAUCUGUAUCGUGAUAUCGUUCCCUCUGGAAGAAAACGAAAGGAAGAAAAAAACAAACGAGGGUUUCAAGAAUAUUUUUUUACAGAGGCUUUGUCUACAGUUGAAGGAAGAAGAAGAAGGGCCAAAAGAUGGAGAUAGGACUUGUUGACACCAUGAUCAUCUCCUCCAUGAGCUAGUUCUUCACUUAGGGCUUGGAUGAGCCCUAAGUUCAUGUAACCCUAACCUUUGUAUUUCUUUUCUUGGGGAAUUAUUAUGUUGUAAUUAAAUUGUAUGGCCUUGCGAUUUCUUAAUAUAUACAUGCUUGAUUUGAUAAA